AGCUUCCCGCCCGCCCGGCAUCUUCCCACGUCCCGGGACCGCUCCCUCCCAAAGGGACCCGGCAGUUCCAAAAGCCACUGGGACUUGGAGAGGGACUUCCUUCCCCUCCAGGGAGGCCCGGCGGCGGGACGGUCCCGCUGGAAAGUGGCCCCCGCCGCCCUGCGUCGGACCUGUCCACCGCGAGCGCCGAUCCCCCUCUUCGCGGAGACAGUCAUGGGCCGGGAGGCUCCAGCAGUAGAAAGUCAGCCAAACGGGGCUUUCCGCCACCUCCCCCUUGCCUUGUCCUUGUCAGUAAACUCAACGUGAUUAACUUCCCUAGUUAACGCAUAUUCUCUCGUCCGAUUUCCAGCUUCUGGGAAUCCACAACUUCUUAUUCUUAAAGAGCAAAAUUCAUCUAGACUAAAUAAAUGACGUUACGAAAACGCCCCAUUCCCAAAGUGUUUCGCUCUUCCCCUCCACCAGGGCACAGCACGCGAUGCUGAGGGGGAAGAAACCUAAACCCAGGCAGAAACCCCGGGCGCCACAGGCCCUGUAUUUAUAUGUGUUGAUGUCAGAAAAGCACAAGGAUACCGUGACAUCCGAAGGGACCUAAUGCCUAAGCUACAGGAUGAUUUAUUGUUUUAGAUGAAAAGGAAAAUAAACAAUGCAAUCUCUAUCUGGUUCAUAUUCUAGGCCUCCUCAUGACCUCUCCUGCCAGAAGCAAUGAUCCCGGAGAACUGAUACUUGCGGAGUGGGGAGUUCAAAAAAGUCAGUGACCAAAACCCCCUCAUGCCAUAAAUGCUAUUGCCUCCUCUGGUCCAGAGUUUCUCAUCCUCCACACCAUUGACAUCUUGGGCUGGAUAAUUCUUUAUUGUAGGGGGCUGUCCUGUGCAUUGUAGGAGGCCUCCACCCACUAGAUGCCAGUUGCAACCUGCCCCCGACGUUGUGACAAUCAAAAAGUCUCUGGACAUUGCCAAAUGCCCUCUUGGGGAGAGGGCAGGGAGCACAUAUCCGCAUGACAACGUACAGAACCGACUUAUAAUAUUAUUAUUGUUUUAUUUUAUAUGCUGGGGCCAAUCCAGGAUAAACUCAUUAUAGCUGCCUUGUUCUCUGUCCACCAAGUACUGUCCAAAAACACAUAGUGGUGAUUGACAUCUCCUGAUACUGUGGCAGGAGUCUGGAAAGCAUUCUUGCCUGCUGUGAGCUUUUCUAAAUAUGGGCAAUCCUUAUUUCAGUGAUAUCAGCUAGUGUAAGUGACUUGACUCACGGGCCAACAGGAAAAUUCAGUCCCUCAGAUUCUACAUUCGCUUUAGCUCAGCUGCUUACAAUGUUUAUUUUUUCUUGUAUAAGUUUGCCUAGUGCUUCUACUGAAUGAAACUGUAUCAGUGAGUCUCACUGCAGCAAACCACUGCCCUUUCUCUCCUACCCUGAGUUCUUCUCAAUGCCUCUUUGUGGAAGGGGCCUCCCAAACCUGAGCUGUUUGCUUUCCGUCAAGCUCAUGUUGUCCCUAAAUUCCAUAGCCAUGUCUUAUCAUUUGAAAUUGGGCUUGUUGGCCGGGCGUGGUGGCACAUGUCUGUAAUCCCAGCUACUUGGAGGCUGAGGCAGGAGAAUCACUUGAACCUGAGAGGUGGAGGUUGCAGUGAGUGGAGAUCACGUCAAUGCACUCCAGCCUGAGUGACAGAGGGAGACUCCGUCUCAAAAAAACAAAACAAAACAAAAAAGAAAUUGGGCUUGUUUCUGACCUAAAAGUGUUUCUGCUGUCUGUCCCUGUAUGUGUUUGUCUCCGUGUACUUCACACUGAGUCUGCAGAUGAUAUACAACGUGUGAUUUUGAACAAAUCUGUAUUUGUAUUUAUCAACAUUUAAAAAAUAUUUAUUUUCUUUAAACAUCUAUUUAAACUGUUGACUCUUUUAGUUAUGAACAUGAAGAAAUUAUUUAAGAGUUUUUAGACAGAGUGGUGCAAAAGAAAGAGUAUGGGCUUUGGAAUCAAACACACAUGAUUUCAACAUACAGCUCUGCCACCUAUCAGUUUUGUAAGCUUGGGCUAAGUACUUGACCUCUAUGCAUCUGUUUCUUUAUCUGUAAAAAGAUAAUUCUACACAUCUUGUAGUGUUGUUAUGAGGAUUAAAUUGGGU
rnacentral:lncRNA from 1 species